AAACAUGUCUUUUUGUAAAUAAUUUAAAGUCUAAUCUGCCCACUGAUNAAUUUAUUAAAGGGCUGCAGUAUUUUGACUGUACAAAGGUAGCAUAAUCAUUAGUCUCUUAAUUGGUGACUUGUAUGAAAGAUUGGAUGAGAUAUAUACUGUCUCUAAUUAAUUUAUAAAAUUUAAUUUUUUAGUAAAAAAGCUAAAAUGAUUUUAAAAGACGAGAAGACCCUAUAGAGUUUAAUAAUUUAUUUAAUUAUUAUUAUUAUAUAAAUUUUAAAAUUAAAAUUAAAUAAAUUAUUUUGUUGGGGUGAUAGAAAAAUUAAAUUAACUUUUUUUUUAUUUUAAACAUUAAUUUAUGAAUAAAUGAUCCAUUAAUAGUGAUUAUAAGAAAAAAUUACCUUAGGGAUAACAGCGUAAUUUUUUUUUUUAGUUCAAAUAGGAAAAAAAGUUUGCGACCUCGAUGUUGGAUUAAGAUAAAAUUUAAAUGCAAAAG
rnacentral:rRNA from 1 species